rnacentral:lncRNA from 1 species
UAAAGGAUUUUAUUUUCAUCUAGAGUCACAUGACGCCUUAAUACCCAAUGACACUAACUACAGUGUCUCAUUAAGAGGUCAUGCAAACUCCCAAGCUAAACAAGGCAUUCUUACAUAUUUAACAUUCAAAUGCAGAAGCCAAGCUAAGCCAUGGAAGAUUGUAAUCAGGAAAAGCUACACUUCCUGAUCCACACAAAAGCUACAGGUUCUUUAAACAGAAGGCAAACUGCUACCAUUUGGGGCUGAAUACUGGAGGUUAUUUUGGAAUGUGAAAGCUAAUUGCUGCUUGGAUCCAUGACAACCAUGUAGACACUAUUCACUUUAACAAUCUACACCAGCAUGGACCAAGACAUUUAAAACAAACCUUUCAAGCAGUCGAUGGAGUGCAAUCGGAAAGGUAGGAUUAUUUUUUUUCUCCUUGUGUAGGUUUAAAACUUACUGGACAUUCACUCUUGUGACUUCAGCAUUCCACAGCAUAAAUCAUCUCUCUUCACAGUACUCCACAAUAUUUUCUAAUGACAAUGCUGAGCUGUGAUAAGCUCUAGUGACAGAACAGAACUGUGUUUCUUUCCAACCCAUAAGUUUCCCAAUGUAGCACAUAAAAGCUUGCCAAUUUCCACUCUGAAGUCUAGAAAAAGACAUUGUACAGAAGAAAUACAGGAAUGCAAAAUUGGAUCAAAGACAGUUAACGCAGGUGAAAAUGGCGCAACAAAAUGUGAAAAUGCAGGCUAAUGGUAUGGGAAGAACAAGAAGAGUGGAAGGCAAGCAGGGAAAAGAGGGGGAUUUGGGAAGAGAAAACUAAUUGGAAAACAUAAGGAUUAAUUUGGUUUGAGAGGUAGAGUACACUGACAUCUAGCAGUUU